AGAUGGGGUAUAGUUGGAUUAAGGUUGAUUUAUUUUUGUUUUGUUUUUAUUUUUAGAAAAUAUUUUUAGGGUUUUAGUUGAGAGUUUAUGGUGUUUAUUAGGUUUUUUUAAUUUUGGUGAGUUUUGAAAUUUAAUUUUUAAUUUAAUAGGAUUGAUGGAAUUUUUGUUUAUUUUUUUAGUUUUUUAUUUGUUGUUUUUAUUUUUAAUUUUAUUAU
rnacentral:misc_RNA from 1 species